rnacentral:piRNA from 1 species
UUCCUACAGAGGAGCCAGGUUUAGUACC